CAGGGCUGAAGGUAUAGAUGUAACAGCAGAAAAUAUAAGAUCAGUUGAGUUCUCCCCAAGGAAAAGAUCCCAAAAGAGCAGAGUAGAAGACUGAGGUCUUGGGGUAUCUUUAUAAUGAGAAUACAAUGAGGAAGAGGAACCAGAAAGACAAUGAAAGCCCCCCAAAAUGAGCUGUCAAAGAGAUUAAAAUAGAACCUAUAUAGUUCAGUGUCAAGAGAGUCAAGAAAGACAAGUUCCAAGUAGACAAUAAUCUACACUGUCGAUGCUUCAGAGAGGAAGAAAAAUUAGAGGCACAGCUUUCAAAACUGUGCAAAUUGAAAUGGCAAAAGGACCACCACUCCUCACCCCCAUUUGUCUCCUGCUGCAUCCCAUUAACAGAGAAUUGGAGUUCGUGCCAGCCUCGAUUCCGAUGUAAGCCAAUGCAAUGCAUUCCACAUUGUAUGGGCUUAAUAAAUGCUUUUUUUCAAAUGGAAUGGCA
rnacentral:lncRNA from 1 species